CUACGGGAGGCAGCAGUAGGGAAUAUUGGACAAUGGGCGCAAGCCUGAUCCAGCCAUGCCGCGUGAGUGAUGAAGGCCUUAGGGUUGUAAAGCUCUUUCGCCAGGGACGAUAAUGACGGUACCUGGAUAAGAAGCCCCGGCUAACUUCGUGCCAGCAGCCGCGGUAAUACGAAGGGGGCUAGCGUUGUUCGGAAUCACUGGGCGUAAAGCGUAUGCAGGCGGAUCGUUAAGUCAGGGGUGAAAUCCCGAGGCUCAACCUCGGAACUGCCUUUGAUACUGGGAGUCUGGAGUGCGGGAGAGGUGAGUGGAACUGCGAGUGUAGAGGUGAAAUUCGUAGAUAUUCGCAAGAACACCAGUGGCGAAGGCGGCUCACUGGCCCGAUACUGACGCUGAGGUGCGAAAGCGUGGGGAGCAAACGGGAUUAGAAACCCCGGUAGUCC
rnacentral:rRNA from 1 species